AGGUAACCUGUGACGACAUCUGUGGGAAGGAGGCGGAUGUAGGAGAAUUCCUCUGUGGAGGUGAAGCGAAGUUUGGUCUGCGGGUCUGUGUAACUUGCCUGAGCAAAAGUAGGAAAUACUGCCGCUCCGCCGAUCCCAGAGUGCUGCCAAGAUGGAAAGAUAACACGAUCAGUCUAAGAUGUGGCCACAAGAUCAUACAGGGACAACUUCUACCACUGACAUCUGAUUGGAACACAGAAUUUGGAAUGUCAACAGAAUUGG